rnacentral:misc_RNA from 1 species
AAGUGCGAUAUAUAGUGCGAUCUGCAUGAAUCUGUGAGUCAUCUAGUAUUUGAACGCAACUUGCGCCGUUUGUAUGGCAUGUUCCAUCGAGUACCGAGUAAAUAGUUUUGUAGUAAUAUAAAGAUAUGGCAUAUGUCUGGUGAGGGAUGAGAGUCCUUUACAGACUGGGCUGAAAUGGAGCAAGUGAAGGGUGAGGGUGUUCUCACGUGUGCUAGAGACUUAAAUGUUUUGUCACGCGGGAGCAGUCUACUCUGACAACCAAACCUCAUAAACUCAACGGUCUCGGUGGAGCAAGAUUACCCGCUGAACUUAA